rnacentral:rRNA from 1 species
GUCAAAUCAUCAUGCUUCUUACGUCUAGGGCCACAGGCGUGCUACAAUGGCUGGUACAACGAGUCGCAACACGGUGACGUGAAGCCAAAUCUCUUAAAGCCAGUCUCAGUCCAGAUUGGAGUCUGCAAUUCGACUCCAUGAAGUUGGAAUCGCUAGUAAUCCCGAAUCAGAAUGUCGGGGUGAAUACGUUCCCAGGUGUU